rnacentral:rRNA from 1 species
AUUGAACGCUGGCGGCAGGCCUAACACAUGCAAGUCGAACGAGUGGCGGACGGGUGAGUAAUGUCUGGGAAAGUGCCUGAUGGAGGGGGAUAACUACUGGAAACGGUAGAUAAUACCGCAUACCAUCGGAUGUGCCCAGAUGGGAUUAGCUAGUAGGUGGGGUAAAGGCUCACCGAGGCGACGAUCCCUAGCUGGUCUGAGAGGAUGACCAGCCACGCUGUAACUGAGACCCGGUCCAGACUCCUACGGGAGGCAGCAGUUGAUAAUUUGGCACAAUGGGCGCAAUCCUGAUCCAGCCAUCCCGCGUGUAUGAUGAAGGCCUUCGGGUUUUAAAUUACUUUCGUCGGGGUGGCGUUACCCGCAGAAUAAGCACCGGCUAACUCCGUGCCAGCAGCCGCGGUAAUAC